GGUUAUCUGCUUCCUUAAUUAAUGCAGUCUCAGGUCCCGAGAGAUUGGAUUGGAGCAGGUGCUGUGUUCCACUCACCAGAGGUCUUAGGAUCCCGUGGCAGAUCCUGUGUGGGUCCUUGCGGGUGUCCGGAGACUCCCCGGGCCAGGGACCCUGGUGCUGCAGUGGACCGGAAGGCCGAUCUCAGUUUUAUUGGAUGGUAACAAAAACAUGUGUACAUGAUGUCUGCUUGUAGUCUUCUCUUGCCUCAUUCUCUCACUAUAAAUUUAGACCUCCAUCCAAAUAGAAUUAAAGGCCUCCUGGUUAUUAUUCUAGUUAUUACUUUAAUGUUUACAUUUUGUUUUUCAAAUCAAAUUGACUUAACAGUCUCAGAUGAGCUCACUGAAUUACCUUGGCAGGAAAAAUAUAUUGCCGAUAUCCUCAUAUUCCUUUAGACAAAUUCUAUACUAGAGGGCACUUCAAUAGUUUAGCAGGAAACUUUAGCAUAAAACAUCACACCAACACAAAGAAAUAAAAGAUUUUCAAACUUGAAACAGGGACCAUAGAAAGAAAUUUUCACUUUUUCCCUAUGGUGUAAUUUCUAAAGAAAGAAUUUACUC
rnacentral:lncRNA from 1 species